CUCUAGCAUCGCUGGUGAUGUGAUCUGCCACUAGCUGAAGACACACCUAAUUACAUAUGAAAAUAAAGUGACUUCCUUACCAACAGACCCCAGGUGCUGAGGAUAGGGAAACACACAUCUGACCCACUGACCCUCAACACUGGAAUCGUGCAGGGGGCUUGCUGUUUGAGAACACUAGUGUCCGAAAUCACUCCUUCAGGAUUGUUCU